AAACCCCAUCCUUAAAAUUACCCCAACUCAUUUGCUGGAACAAUAGGGGGUAAUUCUUGCCCUCUCACCCUCCGUACAGCGUCUCCUCUUCCAUCGUUCUUCCAGCGACCUCUCUCUCGUCUUCGGCAGUCUCCAUCGAGGCGGCGCUCUGCUGGGACUACGACGAGAAAGUGCACACCGCCAACAAGCUCGCCGCGGUGAAGAAGAACAUCGAAGCGAUUCAGGGCAGAGGUAAUUACCCAUGGGACAAGCAAUUGUUGAUUCAUAGCGGAAAAGUUCUCAAGGAUGAGACGACAUUAGAAGAGAACCAAGUGGCAGUGAAGAUGGGUUUCUUGUUGUAAUGCUCAGCAAUGUAUUGGGAUUUUUUUCUUUCUUUUUGUCCAGAAUUAUCCAUGAUUUUUUUGCGGAGUAUGUUGCUUAAAAUUACUCAGAAUCAAAUUUGAUGCAGGGGGGUUAUUUA